GGCCGCGUAGUUCAGUGGUUUAGAAUGCACCCCUCCUACCACCUCGUCGGUUCUUCCCAGAGCAGUCGAGAGGACAGGGUGUGGUCGACGGUUCGACCCCGUCCGUGGUCG